rnacentral:rRNA from 1 species
GACAGAGGGUGCAAACGUUGUUCGGAAUUACUGGGCGUAAAGCGUGUGUAGGCGGCUAUGUAAGUCGGAUGUGAAAGCCCUGGGCUCAACCCAGGAAGUGCACUCGAUACUGCGUAGCUUGAGUACCGGAGAGGUUGGUGGAAUUCUCGGUGUAGAGGUGAAAUUCGUAGAUAUCGAGAGGAACACCGGUGGCGAAGGCGGCCAACUGGACGAGUACUGACGCUGAGACACGAAAGCGUGGGGAGCAAACAGG